rnacentral:rRNA from 1 species
CGGUGGAGCAUGUGGUUAAUUCGAAGCAACGCGAAGAACCUUACCAGGCCUUGACAUGCAGAGAACUUUCCAGAGAUGGAUUGGUGCCUUCGGGAACUCUGACACAGGUGCUGCAUGGCUGUCGUCAGCUCGUGUCGUGAGAUGUUGGGUUAAGUCCCGUAACGAGCGCAACCCUUGUCCUUAGUUACCAGCACGUUAUGGUGGGCACUCUAAGGAGACUGCCGGUGACAAACCGGAGGAGGGUGGGGAUGGCGUCAAGUCAUCAUGGCCCUUACGGCCUGGGCUACACACGUGCUACAAUGGUCGGUACAAAGGGUUGCCAAGCCGCGAGGUGGAGCUAAUCCCAUAAAACCGAUCGUAGUCCGGAUCGCAGUCUGCAACUCGACUGCGUGAAGUCGGAAUCGCUAGUAAUCGUGAAUCAGAAUGUCACGGUGAAUACGUUCCCGGGCCUU